rnacentral:rRNA from 1 species
AUUGAACGCUGGCGGCAGGCCUAACACAUGCAAGUCGAGCGGAUGAGAAGAGCUUGCUCUUCGAUUCAGCGGCGGACGGGUGAGUAAUGCCUAGGAAUCUGCCUGGUAGUGGGGGACAACGUUACGAAAGGAACGCUAAUACCGCAUACGUCCUACGGGAGAACGCAGGGGACCUUCGGCUCUUGCGAUAUCAGAUGAUCCUAGGUCGGAUUAGCUAUUUGGUGAGGUAAUGGCUCACCAAGGCGACGAUCCGUAAAUGGUCUGAGAGGAUGAUCAGUCACAAUGGAGCUGAGACACGGUCCAGACUCCUACGGGAGGCAGCAGUGGGGAAUAUUGGACAAUGGGCGAAAGCCUGAUCCAGCCAUGCCGCGUGUGUGAAGAAGGUCUUCGGAUUGUAAAGCACUUUAAGUUGGGAGGAAGGGCAGUAAGUUAAUACCUUGCUGGUUUGACGUUACCGACAGAAUAAGCACCGGCUAACUCUGUGCCAGCCGCCGCGGUAAAAC